GACGAACGCUGGCGGCGUGCCUAACACAUGCAAGUCGAGCGGUCCUGCAUUCAACAUUGAGUAUUCAGCAGGCGUUGGAGAUGUAACCAGCGUCAAGCAGAAACGACUAUAUAUUAUAAUUUUUUGAAGUUUCUGCUUCACGCCAAAUCAAGUGCCAACACAAAGGGAGCUGAGUAUUGAAUGUUGAAUGCAGGAUAGCGGCGGACGGGUGAGUAACGCGUGGGCAACCUGCCUCAUACAGGGGGAUAACACAGGGAAACUUGUGCUAAUACCGCAUAAUAUCAUUGGGUGGCAUCACCUGAUGAUCAAAGGAGAAAUCCGGUAUGAGAUGGGCCCGCGUCCGAUUAGCUAGUUGGUGAGGUAACGGCUCACCAAGGCGACGAUCGGUAGCCGAACUGAGAGGUUGAUCGGCCACAUUGGGACUGAGACACGGCCCAGACUCCUACGGGAGGCAGCAGUGGGGAAUAUU
rnacentral:rRNA from 1 species